UACGGAAGAUGCGAGCGUUAUCCGGAUUUAUUGGGUUUAAAGGGAGCGUAGGCGGCCUUUUAAGUCAGCGGUUAAAUGUCAGCGCCCAACGUUGGCAUGCCGUUGAUAUUGGAUGGCUUGAAUACACACAAGGAAGGUGGAAUUCGUCGUGUAGCGGUGAAAUGCCUAGAUAUGACGAAGAACACCGAUUGCGAAGGCAGCCUUCUGGGGUGCGAUUGACGCUGAGGCUCGAAAGUGCGGGUAUCAAACA
rnacentral:rRNA from 1 species